GCCAAAUUUGGGGUCCAGAGGGGCCAAAUUUGGGGCUCAGGUGCCAAAUUUGGGGUCCAGAGGGGCCAAAUUUGGGGCUCAGGUGCCGAAUUUGGGGUCCAGAGGUGCCAAAUUUGGGGUUCAGGUGCCAAAUCUGGGGUUCAGGUGCCGAAUUUGGGGUCCAGAGGUGCCAAAUUCGGGGCUCAGGUGCCGAAUUUGGGGUCCAGAGGUGCCAAAUUUGGGGUUCAGGUGCCAAAUUUGGGGUUCAGGUGCCAAAUUUGGGGUCCAGAGGUGCCAAACUUAGGGCUCAGGUGCCGAAUUUGGGGUUCAGAGGUGCCGAAUUUGGGGUUCAGGUGCCAAAUUUGGGGUUCAGAGGUGCCAAAUUCGGGGCUCAGGUGCCACCUGCAGGGCUCCAAGGUGCCCCCGUGCCCAGCU